rnacentral:rRNA from 1 species
UACGUAGGGUGCAAGCGUUAAUCGGAAUUACUGGGCGUAAAGCGUGCGCAGGCGGUUUUGUAAGUCUGUUGUGAAAUCCCCGGGCUUAACCUGGGAAUGGCAAUGGAGACUGCAAGGCUAGAGUUUGGCAGAGGGGGGUAGGAUUCCACGUGUAGCAGUGAAAUGCGUAGAGAUGUGGAGGAACACCGAUGGCGAAGGCAGCCCCCUGGGUCAAGACUGACGCUCAUGCACGAAAGCGUGGGGAGCAAACAG